CUCGGUCCCCGCACGCAGCAUCUGGCCCUGGCUAUAACACUCCGAAGAGCCACGUUCCAGAACCCCUUCUCCUGCAGCAAGAACCGAUGCUGGCCCAGGGAAAGCCCAGAGCGCCGCCCACGAGAGGCAGCGGUGCGCAAUCCCCAUGUCGGGCGCAAUACCCUUCCCUUUCAACAAUUUCACGUGCUGUUUCACUCUCUUUUCAAAGUGCUUUUCAUCUUUCCUUCACAGUACUUGUUCGCUAUCGGUCUCUCGCCAGUAUUUAGCCUUAGAUGGAAUUUACCACCCGCUUGGAGCUGCAUUCCCAAACACUCGACUCGUCAGAAGGGCCUCACUGCUUCCGCCGGCAUCCCACGGGGCUCUCACCCUCCUGGGCGCCCUGUUCCAAGGGACUUGGACACCGCCUUCCACACAGACUCCAACCUGCAAUCUACAACUCGUGCCGCAAAGCACGAUUUCAAAUCUGAGCUCUUGCCGCUUCACUCGCCGCUACUGAGGCAAUCCUG
rnacentral:rRNA from 1 species